CUGCGAAUUUCUUCCUUUUCCUGAAGUUUAAAAAUGCUUUAAAAAACAUUUUUUAUUUGCUUUUAAUGUUUUAACUAUCAUUUUUGUGAUUGUGCUUCUCAGAGAGGUUAAGAGGUAUUCCUGGAGUUAUAUUGAAACGCCCUUCCGCUUACUCUGUGACAGGCUUUUUUCUCUUCCGGCGAUUUUCAGAAUCAUCGAGAACUAAAACUACUCUUCUUCCUGAAGCCCUGCAAACUGAAGCUGGAUGACGUGAUAUAAACUUCAGAGAUAUCACCACAAUAGCCCAUGUUAGACAAUGUUUAUGCCUCUUGCUGUAUAAGGCACUCAGAAAGUUUACCUGAACACUGAUGACAUCAUAAGAGGCAUUUCAAACUACAAAAGAUGCUUCAACCCUCCCCCCACCCCACAUCUAGAAAUCUUCUUGACUGGCUGCCCUCUGGGCUCAAAAACUGGUUUAUAAUUUAC
rnacentral:lncRNA from 1 species